GGCCUGCACUUCAGUCUACGUCUGGUACUAGGCCUUUAUUUUAUUGUAUGGCAUUACUGCUUCAAGAAAUAUAUUUUUAGUCAUGGGCAAGACCUAAAAACAUAUCUGGUUGCUUUCCAAAGUCUGAAACGUUGUUUUUUUAAUCUCAAGAUGCAGGGUACGGGGAGCAAAGCCUACAGAAAUGGCCUGCUAAGUGAGAAGCAUUUAAACAACUUGUAACAGCAUACAAUUCACUAGGUCACAAUGUUCAGUUUAAAAGCUGUGUUUUCUAAGCCCUUAAUUUUAUCAGAACUUUAAAUAUAGGAUAAAUGCUUUUAUGCCUGUAGAAGAUGCAAUUAGAGUUCCACCAUUUAACAAGAGCCAGAAACAGCAACAAUUUCAGUGGCCAUGGCUAGGUUUUGCCUUCUAAUUGUAUGCUUUCUCUUCCCAGCUCCACCCAGCAUGUGCAUGUGAAGCCGACCAUAUCUAAAGCUAUGGCAAGGAAACUACAUGGGUGUGGUCCCAGCUAAGCCCAGCCACGUCUCUGCAGGGUGCUGACUGCUCCGGGAGGAGGAAAGCAUGAAACAGGAACAACAGUUCUGUGUCCUUUGCAUGAGUAACAGAUGUUUUGAAAGAGCUGCAAGAGACCAAGAUAAAUAAGAAGAGCUUCAUGCUGAUAUGGGAAGUGUCAGAAAGCCUUGAAGACACUCAGAGAACUCAAGGGAACCCUUAUCUCAUCUGCAUAUGGUGUUCACAAAGGGCCUGCUGGAAGAUCCAAGUCCAGUCUGCACUCAUGAAGCACCUGCUCUGCAGCAAGGCAGACUUCAUGUGGGGAUCUGAAGGGUGGAAGACAGCAGUGUAA
rnacentral:lncRNA from 1 species